rnacentral:lncRNA from 1 species
CUGAAAUAGUGAUCUUUUAAGAAUGUAUGGUUAAAAAAGAAUAAAAAGUUUUGAGUUUACGUGUAAUAUUAUUUUAUUAGAGAAUGUGUACUAUGUAGUUAAAAAGAAGAAAGAGAAAUAUGUAUUUUAGAAAUAAUGGAGGCCAAACAGGGGGUAAAUCUCAACAUUUUUUUUGUUAAAUCAGGCUAAAUAUUAAAAGAGUUUAUUAUAUCAAAAAUUAUACUUAACCAAACACAAAAAUAUCACCAACAAGGAGUAAUCUAUAGGGUCUAGACACACAAGGUUACAAUAAAGGCAUUAAUUUUGAUCCAACUUAGCAAGUAGUCUACUCCAUUUUAUCAAGUUUCCAGUCCAAUGCACGACUUAAGGACUCGUCGAGCAAUUGUCACAUUACAUGGGAAGGCUGAGGAAGUUGUAAGUGAAAAGAACUAGAAGGUGAAUCGUCUUCCAGACUUAUGUCACUUAGAAUAGAAUCCUCCGCCUCAGUCCUCCUUCAACCAUCAUCCACUAAUAACAUAUCAACUAACUCGUAAGCUUCGUCAACAAUGACAGCAUACAACAUCCACAUGCUACAAAUAUUAUUUUCAAUCAUAAUUAUGUUGGGUUUAUUAAUUUGUUACGUGGGCUUACAUAUAUAAUUAACUGUGUAUAAGGUUAUCUUAAAGUUAAGCUUAAUUAAAGUGAUUUAAUAAAGAAUUAAAUUGUUCGGUGUAGGGCAUUCAAAUAAGGUGUGGACACAUUCUUUAUGUCAUCACAUCAACACAAUAAUACAAGAGGAAACAUAUUGAAGAAGAUCCAAAACCUACAAUCAAACCCACAAUCAAGAAUUAAGAUGAUCAAUAACCAAUAUUCAAGAUCCGGAAUUAAGAUGCAGUAUUAAAGAAAUAUUCCCAAUGAAUUAAGGUAUGUUCCACACUUUAUAAUUCUCGUGAUGACUUGAUUGGAGGAUCUUGACAAUAAAGUAAUUAUAUUUUCUAGUUUUGAGAUUUGAUGUUUCAACGAGUGGUAUUAGAGCCAACUCCAUGUUAAACCAUUGAGAUUAAAGGAAGAUUUUAGGGUUAAAUUCAUACUUUGGUUUUACAAAACGUUGGGUUGUGAAUUUCAAAUCCUAGGUAUCAAAAUUUUGGAAUUUUUGGGAUUUUUCAGUAUUGCUACAGCGUCGUAGCAUUGCGACGCCAUGUUAGGGCGUCACGAGCUGCGUUCAGUUAAGUUGGCAACGCCCUAUUGUCGCUGGGUAUUGCAGCGCCCUAAUUCUAUCCCCAUUAUUUUUUUUCUUUCGGACACAGAAGAGAAAAAUAAAAAUAAAAUAUAAAGGUAUCAUCAAUUUCAAAUCUUAGUACUUAAUAUUUAUUUCAGAUUACUAAUUUCUUAAAAUAGAUUAGUUGAAGUAACAUAUUAUCAAAGUAACCUCUCUUGUCUAAAUUAAUUUAUUUAGAAUAUUAGGAGGGUUGUGUGUAUGUUAUUCAUUCGAAUAUUCACCGGUCCAAAUAAAAGGUCAAUAUUUGGCUGAACUAUUUGCACACGUGGUAAUAAAUGUGACAAUUGUAAUGUUUUUCAUUAUGUUAACAAUGAGUUAGUCCAAAGAUAAACUUGAUCUUUGAUCAGAUUUAUUGUCAAUAUUUGAUUACUAUACUAAGACUACAACUUACUAGAUAUUUUCGUCCGAAGAUUAAAUUUCAAUGCUGUGCUAGAUCUCUUGUGAUGGGACGCACCAUUAUUUGAAAUUAUCGAUUGUCCAAUAUGGAUUCCAUGUGAACAUGUUAAUUAGGUUUAAGUUUUCUAUUAAGUUAAUCCAUCAACUUCUACAAUUUCUGCCAACAUCAUUUCAAUUCUUGUGCUUGAAUCAAAAUUUAAGGACUGGAAUGAGAACGUUUUCAUUGUUCUUAGCGGCAUGGAUCUAGACCUUGCUUUAAGGAUUGAACAAUCCACUGCUCUUACGGAUAAAAUUUUCACUAAUAAAAAGGGACUCAAAUAAGUGGAAUCAUUUAAACCGCAUGGAUCUUGUGAUCAUAAAACAUGGAGUUCCACUAACAUUCAGGGGCCUAAGGUAACUAAUGCCAAGGGAUUUCUUAAAGAAAUUGAAAAAAAGCUUUCCAAAAAGCAAUAGGGCUGAAAUUAGCUCGCUUCUGGCGAACUUGGCUUCGUUAAAGAAUAAGGUUGAAUAAAACAUAAAUGAGUAGUACAUUAUGGAUGUCUCGUCUUGCUUUAAGAUUAAAGGCAUUAAAGUUUAAGUUGUUUGAUGACUUUCUCGUGCAUUUGAUUUUGAUUUCUCUUCUUGCACAACUCGAUUAAUUUAAGGUCAGUUACAGUUGCCAAAAAGGGAAUGGACUCCCUAUGAGCUCAUUUCACAUUGUGUGAGAGAAGAAAAAUGUUUAAAGUAAGAGAGAACUGGAAAUACUUACUUGGUUAGUACGUCUAAUAACAAGUUAAAGAAAAAGGAAACUGCAUUUAGUUCAGUUCAAAAGAAGCAGCAAAAGCUGAAAAGAAUUAAGCAAGAGAGCCAACUGGCGGCAAGUUCUCGUAUAUAAAAAAAUGCAAGCAAUUGUCUUGACUCAAUCAAUGAUCUGAUUUACCAAAAUCAUUGGGAAAAAGUAUUUAUUUUUAAAAUAAUUACAGGGUGGACGGGGACUAUAAAUAUCCAGCCUCUGCUGCAUGCAAAAGCGCAAGCCUCUCCUACAGAGUCUAUUCUUCACCACAUUAAUUUCCUCCAUUAUUAAGCUUUUGAUUUCAUUUUUUAAGCGAAAAUAUGGAAAUCUAAAAAAAAAAAAUUAAAAGGUUUUCAAGCUGCCGGGGAGUCUCUUUUGAGAUUAAACCACAUUCUGAUCCAUUUGCCCUCCCAACUUCGGCCAUAAUGGAAGCUUUUCUAAACUGGUUCCUUAAUUGGAAACAGUCAGAUUGAUCUUUUGCUUAAUUCAAUUAUUGCGGAUGCCAGUUCUUUAUUUGGUUAUGUAACCUAUAUUUGCUUAAUACAUUUGCCUCUUAUAAAGAACAUUACAUGUGAAUUCACAUGGUAUUAAACAUAAAUUAAUUGAUGAGAAUUUCACUUCAUUAUGGAACAAGCUAUUAGGUCACAUAUCUCAAAAUAAAAUAGAAUGGCUUAUGAUCCCCCUGAUUUUACAAACCUUAAUGUUUGUGUUAAUUACAUUAAUGAGAAACAAAUAAAUAUAAGGAGAUUAGGUGUCAAAAGAACUUCAGACGUCUUAGAACUAAUUCAUGUGGAUAUCUAUGGGACAUUCCUUUCGGCUUCUUAGAAUGGUCAAUGGUCAUUUAUUACGUUCAUAGACGAUUUUUCUCAUUAUGACUAUAUCUCAUUCAAAAGGAAUCUCAAUAACUAGACAAGUUCAAGCUUUAUAAAAUAAUUUAGGUUAGAUCUUACUAUAGUGGUUAAUACUAUGACGGAUUAGGAGAACAACGUCCAGAGCCUUUUCCUAAAUUCCUAAAGGAAUGUGUAAUCAUCUCACAGUACAGCAAAAUCUCUCUUUCUAAAGAUUGCAACUUAAGUUCUCUAUAAAAUUCCAAAUAAAGCAACUAUUAAACCCCUUAUGAACUUUGGAUGGGCAAGAAGCCUAAUUUGAAGCACUUGUACAUUUAGGGUUGUUCGGUUAAGGCAAGGCCUUGUAGGCCAUAAAAAAAAAACAAGCUGGACUCCAAAAUUGUCAGUUACUACUUUAUUGGAUAAUUUGAAAGGUCAAGGGGUUACAAAUUUUAAGAUCCACUAUCAGGUCAAUUUUCAAAAUAGAAAAUGUCCAAUUUUUUUACGAUGCCGAGUUUACGGAAGGAGAUAAGGUUAUAAGGUUAAGGAUUUUAUCUUGGAAGAAGAAUAUGUACAUAUUUCUUCUAUUACAAUUGACAAUGAUUAGGACCAGGGACAUUCUUGCUCCAGAUCUAGUUUCACUCCAACUAAAGUUUAUAGUUGAUCCCGUUAAAGAAUAAGGUAGGGCCAUUUGGAAUUAGGGAUAUUUAGAUUUCAUUGCAUGUAAUUUUCAUGCAAUACAUCCAUACUUGAUCUAUGUUGAUUGUGUUGAUAUACAUGACCAUUAAGGGUUUAGUUAUGAUAUUUGUAACAAAGACCGCUUUGAUCCUAUAUUAAUAUAAUCAAUGGAUGAGACUGUUCAGAGAUGCUUUUGGCUAUGAUAGCAAAAGUUUUGAUGUCAUAAUGUUAUACACUUAGCAGGUAACAUAUGUGGCUCAAGUGGGAGAUUGUUGGGUUUAUUAAUUUAGCUGGAAGAUCCUGGCAAUAAAGUAAUUAGGUUUUCAAGUUUUGAGAUUUAAAGUUUCAUAAAAUUCUAACAGAUUAAUGAUAAAACAAAAUAAAAAUGACUCAUAGAUAAGUAUAAACGCAAUCGUGCCAUUUUUGCCUACUUUUGAAAAUGAAAGUAGAAAUUUGACACUAAUUUCAUCACCAAUGAGACUUAGUUUGUCAAAAAAGAGGAUGUCAAAGAUGAUAUAAUGCUGAGAAAAAUAGGCUUUAAAAUAAAUAUAACCAUACUCCAACUAUGGUUUUCCAACUAUUAAGACUGGAUAGUUUGCCCCUCCAACUCUAAUAACUAGCUAUUUCGAUCCUCCAACUAUUUGUACCCACCAUUUUAGUCCUCACAUUAGCACUUAAAACCAUAUUUGUGCCUCCAUCACUAGUCAACUCCACUUUGUUCCCCCAACUACGGUUUGUACCAUAUUGAUCAUUCUUCUAUCAGGAAUAGGUUUAGUUCUCAAAGUAUCAGUCCAAUUAGGUCUUAUAACUAAUAUUUUUCAUCAUUUUGGUGAUUAGGUUAUUCUUAUGCGAGGGUCCCUUUUGCUCUCUUACUCUUCCCCAGCUCUUAUUCCUUAGCUGGCUUCGUUCAGCUGACCUUUCACUUGGGGUUUUGCUCCUGGCUGGCCUAACCAAGGCUGUCAAUUUGAUCCAGCAAUUUACAAAUUUCAAUUCUGAUCUCCAACUAUUUGUCAGCAUCAAUUUUGUCCUUUAGCUAUCUGUCAAAACGAACUUAGUCCCUCAAUUAUGCCCUUCUUGAAUUUUCCCUCAAACUAUUAUUUAGCACCACUUUAGUCCUCAAACUAUCAUCAGCGUCAAUUUUUCUCCCUCUAUCACUAAGCGACACUGGUUCUUCAGCUGUCCAUUCCCUUCACUUCUGUACUCCAUGUUCGUUUCAAACGAGUUUGGUCCCCCAACCUCAAUUCGAUCAAGGUAUAUAUUAGAUCAUAUAAUUGAUUCUGUUAAUUUGAGUGAGUGAGUGAUAAGCUGUCAUAGUUGGUAGUUAAUGUUGAACUGUCAUGUAACUAAUUCUAAACACCAGUCAGCCUAUUUAUAUUGUUUGGAUUGUAACACAUGAUACAUGUUUUCAUGAAAUGAAUUUCUUCUCUACGGUUGUUCUCUCCAGAUUCUACUCUAAUCUUCAAACCUUGGUAUCAGUAUUCUCUUCCAUUUAUUCUCUUCAAACAUUAAUAUGGUAUCAGAGCAGGUUGCUUGAUCUGCUGUAAGUAGUCUCAUGAAAAUUCAAAACUGUUCAAACGUAGGGUGCCACUUUCUUUUCCUUUUCUUUCUCUUGGAUAUUGAACUGAGAUCAUCUUCAAGUAAAUCCACCUUAUAUGAAACUUCGAAUCCAUAUUACCUUCAUCAUUCUGAUAGCCCAGGAUUGGUACUAGUUUCGCAGCCUCACCGGAGAAAAUUAUACCUCCUGGAGUAGAGUGAUGCUGAUCGCAUUGUCCAUGAAAAACAAGCUUGGAUUUGAGGAUGGAUCAAUUGAAAAGCCUGAAGGUACUGAUUCGGAUGUCCUCAGCUCUUGGACUAGAAAUAACAAUGUAGAUAUUUUUUGGAUAUUGAAUUCUGUUUCUAAGGAAAUUUCUGCUAGUAUUAUAUAUGUUGAGUCCACACAUGAAAUAUGGCUUGAUCUUAAAGAAAGUUUCCAACUGAAAUAUAAACCUAGGAUCUUCCAGCUAAAGCAUGAAUUGAUGAGUUUAGCUCAAGAUCAAAAUUCUGUUAGCAUAUACUUUACAAAACUGAAAACUACAUGGGAAGAAUUAAGCAAUUAUAGGCCUGUAUGUUCUUGUAGCAAAUGCACUUGUGGUGGUGUUAAGAAUCCUAGUUCUUAUUAUCAGAUUGAGUGCGUAAUGUCUUUUCUUAUAGGACUAAAUGAUUCUUAUUCACAAGUUCGAGGACAAUUACUUUUCAUGGAUCCAUUACCGUCUACAAAUAAAGCUUUUGCUCUAAUCUCGCCAGAAGAAGAUCAGAGGAAGAUCACUAGCCAAGUUGGUUGUACUUCAGAUCCUGUUGGAAGUAUGACGUUUACUGUUAAAUCAUAUAAUGCUAAACGCCCUGGAAUUCCUAAUUCUGGAACUAUAGCAAUGGUAGUAAUCGAAAUGAUUCAACAAUGGAGGUUACAAAGGAUAGAAGAAAGAGGGACCUUUUUGUACCCAUUGCAACUUCCAUGGCCAUACGGUUGAUAGAUGCUAUGAGAUUCAUGGCUACCCACCUGGUUACAAAGUAAGAGACAGAGAUAACUCAGCCUAUACCAGCAACAACAUUGCAAUUAAUCAGGUGUCAAAUCAGAAUGAACAACAAAGUGAAAUGGGGAGCUUUGUCCAAAAUCUCAAUUCCAACCAAUACCAACAUCUCAUGUCUAUGCUGUCAAAUUAUUUGGCCUCCUGUCAAAACUACUGAUGAUUUUACUACUACUUAUAUGGCAGGUAUUUGAAUCUCAAUUGCAUUUGAGUUCUAUCUUUUCAUUUACUCAAUAUUGGAUAGUUGAUUCCGGUGCUAUAAGGCAUAUAUGUUCAACUGCUGAUGCUUUCGAUUCUAUGAAACCUUCUUAAAAUUCCAAGGUCACCUUACCAAAUCAUACUCAAAUCCCAGUGAACUACUCUGGUGACAUUAGACUGAGCUCUAUGCUUGUCCUCAAGGAUUUUUUAUAAGUUCCUCGAUUCAAGUUUAACCUGAUAUCUAUAAGUGCACUCACUUGUGGAUCAAAUCUCACGAUCAACUUUCUUCCUGAUUGCAGCAGUAUCCAAGAACACAACACCGAGAAGAUGAUUGGCAAGGGUGAUAAGUUUGAAGAUCUCUAUGUUCUGGAUAAAAAAAACAAUCUGAAUUUUUUCUCUACAACAUAUGUAAAUACCGUUUCAGCUCAUAUAUGGCAUAGAAGGCUUGUCUAUCUUCUGACGUUUAGAUACUUUGAAACACCAUUUGCAUUGUGAUGUAUCUAGAUUGAAUAAAGCUGAUCUUUGUUACAUUUGUCCCCUUGCAAAAGAAAGAUGAUUAUCUUUUGAUUCUCACAAUCAUAUGUCUCAAUUUCCAUUUGACUUGGCGCAUUGUGAUGUAUCUAGAUUGAAUAAAGCUGACCUUAUCAUGUUCCUUCUCAUGCUGGCCACGGAUUUUUCUUAACCUUGGUGGAUGAUUGUACUCGGUUUACAUGGAUUUAUCUGUUAAAGCAAAAAUCUGAUGUUGAUACUGUUAUUCUAAAGUUCUUUAACAUGAUAUCUACACAGUUUAAUACCAAAAUCAACGUGUUCAGAUCUGAUAAUGCACCGAGCUGACCUUUGCUGAAUUCUUCAAUAAUAGAGGCGUCUUACAUCAAUUUUCAUGUGUUGAGAGGCCACAAUAAAACUCCGCUGUAGAAAGGAAAUAUCAACAUCUCUUCAACGUUGCACGAUCACUAUACUUUCAAUCCAGAGUUCCAAUUCAAUUUUGGAGUAAGUUUGUCCUUACUGCAGCCUACCGUAUCAAUAAAAUACCCUCUCCUUUGCUCAAACACAGUACUCCUUAUGAAGUCCUACACAAACGCUCAACAGACUAUUCUCACUUCAAGGUGUUUGGGUGUCUGUCGUUUGCAUCGACACUCUUUGUUCAUAGAACCAAAUUCCAACGAAGAUCUAGAGUUUGUGUGUUUCUUAGUUAUCCACGAGGUAUGAAAGGUUAUAGAUUAUAUGAUACUGCAUCAAAACAGAUCUUCGUAUUCAGAGAUGUCCUAUUCCAUGACGGAAUCUUUCCAUUUUAUUCUGUUGUUUCCUCAGACGAGUUAAUUGACCCUUUCCCUGAUCUUGUCUUGCCAAUUCCUUUACUUGAAAAGUCUCCCAUCCCUCAGUUUCUACCUUCCAAUCAUCAUAGCACACAUAAUGAUAUUCCAGCUGCUUCCCAUAAUGAUAAUUUUGAAACUUCAGAUGCAGAUCCACAACAUUCCAAUUCUUUUCUAGAUAAAACUGCCCUAAGAAGGUCUACUAGAACAUCAAAGCCUCCUUCCUAUCUAAGAGAAUUUCAUUGCAAUCUUUUGCACCAGAAAUAUUCGAAUAAUGAAACUCCUCCAUGCACCAGUGCAUAUCCUAUAUCUAAAUACUUGUCCUAUAAUUCCUCAUCUCAUACUCACAUAAACUUCGUCCUAAAUGUUUCAUCCCAAUUUGAACCUUGACAUUAUCAUCAAGCCGUGAAAUUUCCACAAUGGAGGGUUGCCGUGACAGCUGAAUUGGAUGCUAUGGGAUCGAAUAAAACUUGGUCAGUCACUUCAUUGCCCAGCGGAAAACAUUCUAUUGGUUGUAGAUGGAUUUACAAAAUCAAAUACAAAUCAAAUGGUACCAUUGAAAGAUACAAAGCACGCUUAGUUGCCAAAGGACAUACACAACAAGAAGGAUGCAAAGAGACUUUUUACAUGUAGCAAAACUAGUUAAAGUUUUGUUAGCACUUGCUUCAAGUCACAAAUGGCAUUUGUUAUAACUUGAUGUGACAAUGCCUUCCUUAAUGGAGAUUUAUUUGAAGAAGUAUAUAUGGAUCUUCUACUUGGUUAUGAUGUGCAAAGGAAAUUGACACACACGGGGAGAAAUUGGUUUGUAAACUUCACAAAUCAAUAUAUGGUCUCAAGCAAGCUUUUGAGACAAUGGUACUCCAAGUUUUCUCAGCACUUAUUCAAUUUGGCUUUGUUCAAUCUAAGGUAGAUUACUCUUUAUUCACCAAAGGAUCUGGUGCUUCAUUUGUUGCUUUAUUAGUCUACGUGGAUGAUGGAAUAGUCACUGGUCCAAACAGUCAGGUAAUAUAAUCUUUAAAGGGUUUUCUCCACACACAAUUUAAACUCAAGGAUUUGGGGCCUCUGAAGUACUUCCUUGGUCUUGAAAUUGCACAAUCAGCCAAAGGCCAAUUAUUAUCUCAGAGGCAUUAUACUCUCCAGCUUCUUGAAGACAUGAGAUAUCUAGCUUGCAAGCCCAUAUCUGUCCCUAUGGAUCCUAAAGUCUAUUCUAAUGCACGUGAAGGUAAAAUUCUAUAUGACAUUUCUCAAUAUAGACAACUAGUUGGACGCCUUCUUUAUCUUACUUUAUCCCAACCAGACAUCACUUUUGCUGUCCACAAAAUCAGCCAAUUUUUGGCUAAACCUCAUAGACCUCACUUUAAAGCUACGCAUCAUCUCCUAAAUUAUCUUAAAUCCAAUCCUGGACAGGGUUUGUUCUUUUCCUCCUCAUCCUCUCUCCAGUUAGAGGCCUUUUCAGAUUCUGAUUGGGGCUCAUGUCCAGACACCAGGAAAUCUAUGAUUGGUUUCUGCAUAUUCUUAGGUAACUCCCCAGUAUCAUGGAAAAUAAAAAGCAGACCAUUUCUCGUUCCUCAGCAGAAGUGGUAUACAGAGACUUAGGGGGUGUUCUCUUUGUAUUUCAAUUUUGUGUUUUGAGUUUUGAAUUCAUUUUGAGUUUUGUGUUUUGAGUGUUUGUUUUGAAAUUGUUGAAAAUGCGUUCUUUUUGUUAGUUUCUCAAAACAAAAAACAAAAAAAUUUUUUUUUUUAAAAUUUUGAGAAUCACCACAACACCACUUCAAAACACCAAAAAAUAAAAAAAUAAAAAUUUUUUUUUUUUGAAAUUUUGAGAAUCACCACACCACCUCCUCAAAAAAAAAAAAAAAAAAAAAAAAAAGAAGUGUUUCCCGCGUUUUCAAUUUUUUCAAGUUUUACACUGAAAACGCCCAAAACGACAAAAAAGUCGUUUUGUGUUUUCUUCACAAAUUUUUUUUCGUUUUCGAAAAUUCGUUUUCGAAAACGGGAAAGAGAACGCGUUUUCACCGUUUUGAAAAAUCGAAAACAGAAAACAACCCGAAAAUGGUAAAGAGAACAGGGCCUUAGCUUCCACGACUUGUAAACUAGUUUGGUUACCAGCUGCUGAAAUAUUUUCAAAUGGAAGUAUCAUCCCCAGCUCUUUUUUUCUGCGAUAAGCUGCAAUUCGCAUGGCCUCCAAUCCCAUUUUUCAUGAUGAACCAAAUAUAUCAAGAUUGAUUGUCAUUUUAUUUGAGACAAAGUUACUGAAGGGUUUAUUUAGCUCAUGUCUAUCCGGUCUCAACAUCAGCUUGCCGAUACAUUCACUAAAUCUCUUCCUUCUUCUUCAUGCUUCCUCUCUUAUCCAAGAUGGCUGUCAAAGAUAUUUAUAGUCCAUCUUGAAGAGGAGUAUUAGAUCAUAUAAUUGAUGGUAGUUAAUGUUGAGCUGUCAUGUAACUAAUUCUAUACACCAGCCAGUCUAUUUAUAUUGCUUGAAUUGUAACACGCGAUAAAUGAUUUCAUGAAAUGAAUUUCUUCUUUACAGUUAUUCUCUCCAGAUUCUUCUCUUAUCUUCAAACCUUGUUAUCAGUUCUUCUCUUCCAACUUUUCUCUUCAAACAUUAAUAGUAUAGAUGAAUUAACUGUUGAAUCUACGAAUUUGAAUUGGUAGAAGUAUGAAAAUCCAAGUGUUUCUCCUGUUUUUUGCUGCAAGGAUAUGGUUAAACUAUUGGCUUGGAAGUCUCUCAUUGAAGGGAUACGUUUCGAGAGAUUGUAAUUCAGUCCCUUGGAAUUGGGAUACGGAGGAUGAGUUGUGGGAUUUAGGGAACGCUUAAAGCAUUGAAUUUUGCUGUAAUAACAAUAGUUGGGUGAAAUUUCAUAAUCAUCACUUAUAACAUAUGGUUUUGCAGAUAUCAUUGAAGAGUUUUAGAGAUGGUGUCAUAUGUGAUCUUAUUAUCACCAGCAAUACCCAAAGACAUGUGGAGCCUUUGGCCAUAAUAAUGGAAGCACUGGCUGAAACAGGCAAUUCAGCAUUUCCCAAGUAUGCCUGUUUACUUCUUGUUUUCAGGAAAAAUAUUCUGAUAGUUGCAUUGCUAUAACAAGGAAAUGAAAUUCUAACUUAAGUCAAAAUGUAAAUUACAAUAAUUUGUAAAUAAAAUUGAUUGUAUUGCGAAUAUUCUUUUGAGUUUUGCAUCACCUAAAAUAUUCCCCUUGGUUUGCAUGGAAGGAGUUUCAGUAACUGUGCUGAAAAUUAUUUAUUGAAUCUAAUCCACUUUGUACUCUUGAGUUCCAUGAGAUAUAUAGCAAUCUUGACUCAGGUUGCCCUUGAAUUCUAAUACUAUUAAAUAAUGAAAUUGAAUGGAUUGGGGAAAAGAUGAAAGCAAAGAAUUUGACUUAUCAUUCUUUAAAAAGCAUCAAUAUAAUGCUUUCUGCAGUGAAGGUUUUCUAAAACACAAUGGUAAUAUUGCUACCCCUUUGUCACUAGGAUUACUGUUAAUGUCACCAGUUAAUGCGUGUUGUUCAUAGAGGCUGAUCCAAACAUCAAACAUAAGCUUUUUGAUGAAAACAUAUGGUUAUCAUUUCUGCCAAUUCCCUUUGCUAUUGAUCUGCUGCACCGAGCUUCAAUCACGAAGCUUCAGCUCACAUGUGAUGCUUCAAUUAAGAUAUUUUAUCACUUCAUCAUCCUUACCUUAUGACUUCAAUUCGGUUGGUGAGGACGUGAAGUGUGGGCUUUUUAUUUAUCUUCGAAUUUAAUGUCACGUGGGCCUCUUUUGAAGUUUUGUUAGGUGAGGCGUAACAACUUACACUUGAUGUUAUUUGAAGGUAAUGCAAUUUUAUACGCUUUCAAUAGUAAUUUAGACCUCUUGAAUUUUUUUUAUUUUUUAUUUUUUACAAAGCCCAAUACUCGUACACUAACAUGGCUCACAUAUUCUGUCUAUCCUACAUUCAAAUAUACUUGUACAACUUGAUUAACUUAAUAGCCACCGCCUUUCCCACCUUCAGGGAAUGUCACUCGUUUUUUACGAUUUGUCCUAAUGUGCAGGAACAUUAUGCGUGGAUUCGAGUGGAGCCGAAUUUGCUAACCACGUCAUCGGUCCAAAAUUCAACGUCAACACAUACAAUUUUUGUUCAUUAGUCUUUUUUUUUUUUUAAUAACUAAUGUUCAAAUUAGUUGUUGGUUGAUCUAGAAAUAAACAAAGGCGAAUAAGCGAUUUUUGGUUUCUUUUUCCCUUUUUUUUUUCCCUAUCAAAUUUUCCUUUUUCCAGAUCAUUGCAAAAAAUGAUGAAUUACUCAGUCCUUGGAUCUUUAUUAUUUUAGCUAGUCAGGCGCUAAAUAUGAAUUUCGUGACUGGUAAUUUAAGCAAAGUUCAGCUAGGUUUUCAGACUUAUUGCACUUCACUAUAGCCCCUGUUCCCUAUAUCUGUAUCCCUAUACAAUAAAAGACAUAAUUUUUUUUUUUUUUUUUUUACCCAGGUGUCCCAGUUUCGCUAGACUAAAUCCUGGACCUCAAGCCUUCGGCCCCUCAUUAGCUUGAGGAAGUUAAUCGCGGGUUGUGCCCUUAUUGGCUCCCAGGUUCCUGUAUGACUUUUACUCCUUCCCCAAAGAGGGCCCUCUCCACUGCCUUCCAGCACCUUGCCUUCGAGAUAAAUCCCCCUUCCAAGAUGCUGCUUUCUAGGAAUCGAACCCUCCACGCUUGGUUUGUGAGCCCACCAAUGCAAUUGUUCCACCAACUCGGAUGUGCCCCGAGGGGCAAAAGACAUACUUCUCUAGUUGGUUUUGUGCAUCUAAGUGUAGAAGAUUUGAAAGUAUGAGGGUUUGGCUUCCCAGUUGUCUUUAGUGGGCCCUUUUCUUUUUUUUUUCUUUUUUCCUUUUUUUUGUUGCAAACCUCAGCUUAUUUGUUGUGGGUGCUUUUCUCCUUAUUUUAGGCUUGCAGCUUUUGAAGAUUCUUAGUUAACUGAUUUCAUGAAGAUUAAUAUGUAUGCAUCAGACCUUAUACUCAUUAUGCCU